rnacentral:rRNA from 1 species
AUGGUGGAUGCACCUCUGUGCAAGCAGCGCCGCAAGUACACCAGGGAGCUCCAUGACGUCCACCUCCACGACAAUCACAAGCUCCACGUCCUUUGCACAAGCAAGGGCAAAGACGUGGACAAGAUGUUGUCCACGUUCAGGAGGAAGCUCGGCGGAAUGCCCGUCAAACUAGUCGGCAUUGAUGUCGAGUAUACACACUACGAGAAGCCACAGCGCGCAGCUGUACUACAGCUAUGCGUAGAAAAAGAAUGCCUUGUCUACCACAUAUCUGCAGCUAAAGACAGGCCAAUGGAACUAGACAAAUUCCUAAUGAAUGAUGAGUACACCUUCGUCGGAUUCGCUAUUGAAGGAGACAAAAGCAAGCUGAAGGUAUCUGGUUUGGAGAUCAACUCCAACAACUACAUUGAUAUUCAGGUGGAAUGGAGAGACCCAUACAAUAAAAAGAAGUUUGACUCUUUGGCUAAUGUUGCUGGCAGGAUGAUAGACAUUCACUACAAUGACAAGAAGAAAAAAAUUAACCACAAGGAGGACUAUACUUUGUGGGGAUUUUGCCCGCUGCCAAACAAGCUUAUCAAGUAUGCAGCAAUAGAUGCAUUCGCAACAUAUGAGUCAUGGAGAAUCAUCUACGAUGUCAUAAUGGGACUGGACAGGGCAAAAAGAGACAAAGAAGAAAAGAAGAAGAAGAACAAGGCUGUAAUCCAAUACAGCAACUAG